GUUGAAUGGCAUAUCUAGCGGGUCAUCGAAUUCCGAGAACACUUUGACCAUUGUCAGGGCCAGCCCCUGGUUGUCUGCGAAGGACACCCGCUUUUUCACCUUCUUCUCCUGGACAGCCGGGGCCACCAUUCCACUGGCUUCAUUCUUGCUGCUCAGCUGAAUACAAGGCCUCAGUGGUUUGCUGGGCUUUGGUGAGAUCUUAAAGGCAAACCUCUCUUGGCGCAAGGAAGGAGCCAUGCAGUUGUAUCUGUACUCGAUGUCCACAGCCAUCAUGGGGCUAGAUGAACAGGCUAGAACCGUGGAAAGGGAAGAGAAGAAAGAAAACAGUGGAGCAAUCAGAUCAGACAGAUGUGUAAAGGCAUCAUUCCAGCAGGGACUGGCAAACAAUAUUUCCUUUUAUCUAUGCCCACCUGGCUACAGGUCAGGAUUAACUCUGGUGUGGUCCAGCACAACAUGCGUUUGAGAGAAGAUUAUGUUGUGGGGGGACGAGAUGCGGUGGGGGGUGGGGGGUGCUUCAAGGUUAAAACAAACAAAAGAGUAUGAAACCCACUAGUUUUAAAACUAAAUGCACAGGUUUUUUGGUCAGCAUUUCUUGGGGCCUUCCGUUGGCAAAUGUGCCACAGAGGAUAAUCAAAAGGGCAUAUAUACUGUUUUAAAAUUUCCCAAAUCUAUUUGACUAAAAGGGUGUCUUCCACAGAUAGCUGUCCUGAGGGACACUAUUUAUUUACGUAUUUUUAGAGAUAGGGUGUUGCUCUGUGCCCAGGCUGGAGCGCAGUGGCGUGAGCACAGCUCACUGCAGCCUCGACCUCCCAGGCUCAAAUGAUCCUCCCACCUCAGCCUCCCAAGAAAGUGGGACCACAGGCGCAAGUCACCAUGCUUGGCUAAUUUUAAAAAAUUUUUGUAGAGACAGGACUCGCUAUGUUGCCCAGGCUGGUCUCACACUCCUGGCUCAAUCCAUCCUCCUGCCUUGACCUCCCAAGGUGCUAGGAUUACAGGUGUGAGCCUCUCUGCCUCUCUUUAUUAAUUGAGAAGUAAAAAUUGUAUAUUCUUAUGGUGUACAACAGGUUUCCAUAUAUGUAUACAUUGUGGAAUGGCUAAAUCGAGCUAUUUAACAUGCAUUAUAUCACACUUUUUUUGCAGUGAGAACACUUAAAAUCCACUCUCAGCAAUUUUCAAAUAUAUAACAUAUCAUUACCAAGUAUAGGCACCAUAUUGUACAUCAGAUCUCUUGAAUUUAUUCCUCCCGUCUACCUGAAAUUUUGUAUCCUUUGGCCAAAGGAUACCUCUCCAGUCCCUCUACCCUCACUUUCUGGUAGCCACCCCUGUACUCUCUGUUUCUAUGAGUUUGACUUUUUCAGAUUCCACAUAUAAGUGAGAUCAUGCUAUAUUUGUCACUCUGUGCCUGACUUAUUCACUUAACAUCCUCCAGGUUCAUCCCCGUUGGCACAAAUGACAGGAUUUCCUUCUUUCUUCAGGUAGAAUGGUAUUCCACUGUGUUUAUAUACCAUGUUUUCUUUAUUCACUCAUCCAAUGAUGGGCACUUAGGUUGAUUCCGUAUCUUGGCUUAGUGAAUAACGCUGCAAUGAACAUAAGAGUACAGAUAACUCUCCGAUACACUGACUUCAAUUCCUUUGGAUAUAUGUCCUGCAGUGGGAUUGCCGGGUCAUAUAGUAGUUCUAGUUGUGGUUUUUUGAGGAGCCUCCCUACUAUUUUCCAUAAUGGCUGUACUAAUUUACAUUCCCACCAGCAGGAGACAAGGGUUCCCUUUUCUCCACGUCUUUGCCAAUACUUAUUUUCUUUGGUCUUCUUGAAAAUAGCCAUCCUAACGGGUGUGACGUGACAUCUCAUUGUGGCUUUAUAUUUGCUAUAAUCUGAUAAAAAGAAAUGGAUUCAUCCCACAAAUAGGGAUUGGGUGUUUCCUAUAUGGCAGGCAUCAAGCAAGAUACUGGGAUUCAAUAGUGAAGAUAGACACAAACCUGCUUUCAUUAAGUUUAUGGUAGGUUUUUAAAUGUCAGGAUACCAUUCUUUUAAAAAGAACCAGCAGGCCUGGGCGGUGGCUCACGCCUGUAAUCCCAACACUUUGGGAGGCUGGGCAGGUGGUUCAUCUGAGGUCAGGAGUUUGAGACCAGCCUGACCAAUAUGGUGAAACCCCAUCUCUACUAAAAUUACAAAAAUUAGCUGGGCAUGGUGGCAUGCACCUGUAGUCCCAGCUGCUCUGUAGGCUGAGACAGCAGAAUUGCUUGAACCUGGGAGGCGGAGGUUGCA
rnacentral:lncRNA from 10 species